rnacentral:tRNA from 1 species
GCGGAGGUGGCAGAGCAUGGUCAAAUGCGCUAUUUCAUCUGCAUCAGUAGAUGGAGCGUAUGCUUGAGGGGCUAGUCCCUAAGUGGGUGCGAGGGUUCAAAUCCCUUCCUCCGCA